UGGAUAUAGAUAUAAAAACAUUAAAAUUCAUCAUCAUCAUCCAUUUGAAUAUAGACAUUAAUAUUUAUUUUAUUCUAAUCAGCCAGCUAGUUUUCAGUUUAUUUGUCGUCAACUCCUUGGUCGUCGUCCUCGUAGGACAUAGGUAUAUAUGUGCUUGGAUCAUUACUAAUAGCUAGCAUAUAAGCAAUACAAUCAUAGGCUAGCUGGCUUGUUAGUAUUUUUUUUUUGACAUAGAUUAAGAUAUAUAUGGGCGUGUGCAGCAAGAGAUACAUUUGCUUCCUCUCGAUCCCCAGCGAUCUUUCGGUGCUAUCGUGGCGUGGAUCAAGUGGUGAACUACGUCACCUAGUUUGUAGCGCAGACGUAUGUGUAGACGUUUGUGUACUGUCAUGUGCUAUCGCAUAUUUCAACCCACACACUUAAUUUGCCCGUGUAUAUUAAAUAGUUUGACUGUGUGUAUAUUAAAUAGUACUACUUUCAUUUUUUUUUAUUUGACGCUCGAUAGUUGAAAUUUACAGUAACAAACGUCAAAUAAAAAAACCAAAAAACCGGAGC
rnacentral:lncRNA from 7 species